rnacentral:rRNA from 1 species
GCGUUGUCCGGUAUUAUUGGGCGUAAAGGGCUCGUAGGCGGUUUGUCGCGUCGGGAGUGAAAACCCAGGGCUUAACUCUGGGCUGGCUUUCGAUACGGGCAGACUAGAGGUAUGCAGGGGAGAACGGAAUUCCUGGUGUAGCGGUGAAAUGCGCAGAUAUCAGGAGGAACACCGGUGGCGAAGGCGGUUCUCUGGGCAUUACCUGACGCUGAGGAGCGAAAGUGUG